rnacentral:rRNA from 1 species
ACCGUGAGGGAAUGGUGAAAAGUACCCCGGGAGGGGAGUGAAAUAGUACCUGAAACCGUGUGCUUACAAGCCGUUGGAGCCUUUUGGGGUGACAGCGUGCCUUUUGAAGAAUGAGCCUGCGAGUUAGUGUUAUGUCGCGAGGUUAACCCGUGUGGGGUAUCCGUAGCGAAAGCGAGUCUGAAUAGGGCGUUUGAGUGGCAUGACCUAGACCCGAAGCGGAGUGAUCUAUCCAUGGCCAGGUUGAAGCGACGGUAAGACGUCGUGGAGGACCGAACCCACUUCAGUUGAAAAUGGAGGGGAUGAGCUGUGGAUAGGGGUGAAAGGCCAAUCAAACUCUGUGAUAGCUGGUUCUCCCCGAAAUGCAUUUAGGUGCAGCGUUACGUGUUUCUUGCCGGAGGUAGAGCUACUGGAUGGCCGAUGGGCCUUCACGGGUUACUGACGUCAGCUAAACUCCGAAUGCCGGUAAGUGAGAGCGUAGCAGUGAGACAGUGGGGGAUAAGCUUCAUUGUCGAGAGGGAAACAGCCCAGACCAUCAACUAAGGCCCCUAAGCGUGUGCUAAGUGGGAAAGGAUGUGGAGUUGCUGAGACAACCAGGAGGUUGGCUUAGAAGCAGCCAUCCUUGAAAGAGUGCGUAAUAGCUCACUGGUCAAGUGAUUCUGCGCCGAUAAUGUAGCGGGGCUCAAGUACACCGCCGAAGUUGUGGCAAUGAUCUUUUUGGAUUGUUGGGUAGGGGAGCGUCGUGUGGCCGUUGAAGCUGCGGUGUAAACCAGUGGUGGAGGCUAUGCGAGUGAGAAUGCAGGCAUGAGUAGCGAAAGAUGAGUGAGAAACUCAUCCGCCGGAUGAUCAAGGGUUCCAGGGUCAAGUUAAUCUGCCCUGGGUUAGUCGGGGCCUAAGGCGAGGCCGACAGGCGUAGUCGAUGGAUAACGGGUUGAUAUUCCCGUACCAGUGAAGGACCGUCCAUACUGAUAUUGUGAUGCUAACCAUGCCGAUCACGGUGUCAUGAAGUUUUUCUUUGUGGUGUUGUGGGGUGUGUGGGACCCAAGCUUUGGAGGUAAGCGUGUUAACAGGUGUGACGCAGGAAGGUAGCCAAGCCACGCGAUGGUUGUCGUGGUCUAAGCGUGUAGGGUUGUCGGUUGUUAAAUGCGCCGGCUGUGUGCCUGAGACGUGAUGGGACCCCGUUUUUGGGGGAUUUGGUGAUCCUAUGCUGCCGAGAAAAGCAUCGGCGUGAGGUUUUAGCCGCCCGUACCCUAAACCGACACAGGUGAUCAGGUAGAGAAUACUAAGGCGAUCGAGAGAAUCAUGGUUAAGGAACUCGGCAAAAUGCCCCCGUAACUUCGGGAGAAGGGGGACCUUGAGCGUGAUGGGCACUUGCUGCCUGGAGCGUGUAUGGGUCGCAGAGACCAGGGGGAAGCGACUGUUUAUCAAAAACACAGGUCCGUGCGAAGUCGUAAGACGAUGUAUACGGACUGACUCCUGCCCGGUGCUGGAAGGUUAAGAGGAUUGGUUAGCUCUUUUGGGCGAAGCUGAGAAUUUAAGCCCCAGUAAACGGCGGUGGUAACUAUAACCAUCCUAAGGUAGCGAAAUUCCUUGUCGGGUAAGUUCCGACCUGCACGAAUGGAGUAACGACUUCCCUACUGUCUCAACCAUGAACUCGGCGAAAUUGCAGUACGAGUAAAGAUGCUCGUUUCGCGCAGCAGGACGGAAAGACCCCGUGACCUUUACUAUAGUUUGGUAUUGGUGUUUGGUUUGGCUUGUGUAGGAUAGGUGGGAGACUGUGAAGCAUGGACGCUAGUUUGUGUGGAGUCGUUGUUGAAAUACCACUCUGGUCAAUCUGGAUGUCUAACUUCGGGCCAUGAUCUGGUUCAGGGACAGUGCCUGAUGGGUAGUUUAACUGGGGCGGUUGCCUCCUAAAGUGUAACGGAGGCGCCCAAAGGUUCCCUCAGCCUGGUUGGCAAUCAGGUGUUGAGUGUAAGUGCACAAGGGAGCUUGACUGUGAGACUGGCAGGUCGAGCAGGGACGAAAGUCGGGACUAGUGAUCCGGCGGUACGUUGUGGAACGGCCGUCGCUCAACGGAUAAAAGGUACCUCGGGGAUAACAGGCUGAUCUUGCCCAAGAGUCCAUAUCGACGGCAUGGUUUGGCACCUCGAUGUCGGCUCGUCGCAUCCUGGGGCUGGAGUCGGUCCCAAGGGUUGGGCUGUUCGCCCAUUAAAGCGGUACGCGAGCUGGGUUCAGAACGUCGUGAGACAGUUCGGUCCCUAUCC